UAAGACGUAGGGUCCAAGCGUUGUCCGGAUUUACUGGGCGUAAAGAGCGCGUAGGCGGUCUGUUAAGUGUAGAGUGAAAUCUCCAGGGCUCAACCCGGAAACUGCUCUGCAUACUGGCAGACUUGAGGAAUGCAGAGGUUUGUGGAAUUCCUGGUGUAGCGGUGAAAUGCGUUGAUAUCAGGAGGAACACCCAUGGCGAAGGCAGCAAACUGGGCAUUAUCUGACGCUGAGGCGCGAAAGCGUGGGUAGCAAACAGGAUUAGAUACCCUGGUAGUCCACGCCCUAAACGAUGGAUACUAGGCGUAAGAGGUAUCGACCCCUCUUGUGCCGCAGCUAACGCAUUAAGUAUCCCGCCUGGGGAGUACGGCCGCAAGGUUG
rnacentral:rRNA from 1 species